CAGCCCUGUCCUGCUCGUGGGGGAGGGGCAGGAGGGGUCUGCUCCUCUGCUUCCAUUGCGACCGCGGCAGGUUGUUAGUUACCAAACAGAGAGAGAAGAUGAGCUCCUGCUUGGAUUUUUUUCUGCCAGCACAUGAUUUGUAUGUAUGCAAUCAUCAUCUUGCGUGUG